CGCCUACGGGGCGCAGCAGUGAGGAAUAUUGAUCAAUGGGGGAAACCCUGAUGCAGCGACGCCGCGUGGGUGAAGAAGCGCCUCGGCGCGUAAAGCCCUGUCAGCAGGGAAGAAAAUGACGGUACCUGAAGAAGAAGCCCCGGCUAACUACGUGCCAGCAGCCGCGGUAAUACGUAGGGGGCAAGCGUUAUCCGGAUUUACUGGGUGUAAAGGGGGCGCAGACGGCGAUGCAAGCCAGGAGUGAAAGCCCGGGGCCCAACACCGGGACUGCUCUUGGAACUGCGUGGCUAGAGUGCAGGAGGGGC
rnacentral:rRNA from 1 species